UACGUAGGGUGCGAGCGUUAAUCGGAUUUAUUGGGCGUAAAGCGAGCGCAGGUGGUUUAAUAAGUCUGAUGUAAAAGGCAGUGGCUCAACCAUUGUGUGCAUUGGAAACUGUUAGACUUGAGUGCAGUAGAGGAGAGUGGAAUUCCAUGUGUAGCGGUGAAAUGCGUAGAUAUAUGGAGGAACACCGGUGGCGAAAGCGGCUCUCUGGCUGAUAACUGACGCUGAGGUGCGAGAGCGUGGGGAGCAAACAGG
rnacentral:rRNA from 1 species